CGCUUCUGGAAAAUUAUCAAGAGGCCUGACCUGCCCGGUGACUAAUAAGUUAAACGGCUGCAGUACUCUGACUGUGCAAAGGUAGCAUAAUCAUUAGCCUAUUAAUUUUAGGCUGGAAUCAAUGGUUGGACGACAGGAUUACUGUCUCUUUUCAUAUAAAUUUGAAUUUAAUGUUAAGGUGAAGAAACCUUAAUAAUGUAGUGGGACGAGAAGACCCUAUAGAGCUUUAAUUUAUUUAGUAAGGUUUUGUUUUAUUAAGUAAAUUUUGGUUGGGGCAACUAUUUAUAAAAAUUAGGCAUAAAUUUUUUAGAUAUUUUUAUAUUACUUUUUUAUAUUGACCCAAAAUUUUUUGGGAUGUAGAAAAAGUUACCUUAGGGAUAACAGCGUAAUUUCUUUUGAGAGUACACAUUGACAAAGAAGUUUGCGACCUCGAUGUUGGAUUAAGUUUUCCAGGAAGUGCAGCAGUUUCCAAGGGUUGGUUUGUUCAACCAUAAAAAUCUUAC
rnacentral:rRNA from 1 species